GAAACUCAGGGCUAUUCAGUCAGCCUUCCCGCCCGAUGCUCUAACUUAUGGUUCGCUAUGAACGAAAAUGGCUUAUCUUUAGGAGCAAACUGAAAGUACGUUUUUCCACCAUUGAGGCUAUAGGGUAUUAGGAUGGAACAUUUUCGUCAUGUCGCGGAGCGACGUGAUGUAUUUUCCCGC
rnacentral:misc_RNA from 1 species